UAGGGACAAUUUACAAUUAUACCAAGGCAAUUAGCCUACAAACCUGUACGUCUUUGGAGUGUGGGAGGAAACCCGAGCACCCGUAGAAAACCCACGCGGUCACGGGGAGAAUGUACAGCCUCGGUACCGACAGCACCUGUAGUCAGGAUCGAACCCAGAUCUCUGACGCUGUAAGGCAGCAACUCUGAUGCUGCAUUACCGUGCCGCACUUGUCUUUGUUCCUUUCUUGCCGCGGAAAUAAUGUUAAUUCGAGGGGGCGUCACCGUCAAUCUUAAUUUUAUUUUCCAGAUGCACAAGUGGAUUUUUCGGGAGUUUCUAGUUCAGGAUAAAAAAGAGCAGGACAUUAGUGCAGAUUGCCCAGUGAGGAAUUCAGAAAAGUAAAUUACAGGGCUGACAUUCAUGUCUCUGACCAGGGAGAGUUAUGUGCUUGCACUCCCAGCAAAGCAGAGGCAUUUCUUUACGGAUUGUUGCUCUUGGAAAAUCCCACGCAGAGAAAUUGUUAGCAGUGAUCGGUCGAAGUGCCAAACAAGUAUUUAGAUAGUCCGACCUCACAUUAUCAUGGGAAGUCAGUCUGAGUCACUUGUUUAUGGUGACUACGUUUUGAAGCUGCUUGGUGAAAAGGGUACAAACGUUUGCUGGAUCCUCCUCAGUGCUGGAGUACACAAUGGCAAUCUGUCCAGCUGAAUUCACCUUGCGUAGGGGCCAGCAUUAACUAGAUGGGACGAAAGGCCUCUUUCUUAGCUGUAACCUUUCUGUGAUCAGAGUCAUAGCCUGCACUGACCACACAUUAACAGUAUUCCACACUCACUACUGAACAAUUUACACUUCUCCCAAGCCAAUUAACCUACAAACCUGUACUCCUUUGGAGUGUGGGAGGAAACCGAAGAUCUCGGAAAAAAACGCGCGGUCACAGGGAGGGCGUGCAAACUCCGUACAGACAAGCACCCGUAGUCGGGAUCAAACCCGGGUCUCCGGCGCUGCAAGCGCUGUAAGGCGGCAACUCUAUCGCUGUGCCACCAUUGCCACCCUAAUCUGCCACCUCAACCUAAUGCUCAGCUGAACUCAAGAUCAUCGCAAUCAUCUUAAUCAAGAGCGUUGCCCUGUAGUUUAGCUUUGCUUUCAUUUACCUUCAUUGAGAGCUCCAUCUGUUCACUCUGCUUAGAUCACUACCUUUCAGACCCACUUGACCUUUGGCAUCUGUGGAAUGGAGGAGUGGACCUGCUGAUGCCGUGUUUGUUGUUUUCAAUGGGAUUGUGCUUUCAUUGACUCAAAGGACCAUUAAGCCAUCAUUGUCCCUGUCUAUUGGUAAUUGAGGCUGAAGGUCACUGCAGGAGAGGCAUUUGUCUUUGCUCUGGAAUGAAGUAAAUAGAUGUUGAAAGUAGACACAAAAUGCUGGAGCAACUCAGCGGGCGGGACAGGCAGCAUCUCUGGAGAGAAGGAUUUGUGACAAGUUUCAUUUUUAACGACUUCUUAUAAUUCCAGUUCAGUUUCGUUUAUUGUCACGUGUGCCGAGCAACAGUGAGAAGCUUUUGUUGCGUGCUAACCAGUCGGCAGAACAACAAUACAUGAUUACAAUCGCGCCACUUACGGUGUGUGGAUACAUGUUUAAGAAGGAACUGCAGAUGCUGGAAAAAUCCAAGAUUGAAUUGGAUCUAAAUAUCUUGGAUCAAGUUUUUGGGAAUUUGGUCAUGCAGAUGGUGACCCAGAAUAAAAAGCACAUGUGCUGAAACCAUGUUUCCACUCGGAUUGCUGUCCAGUUAACACAUGCUGUGGUACUGGGAGGGAAUAGUGCAAAUCCAGCAACCAUAUUUUUGGCAAGUACCUGCUGCAUAAUUUGUGAGGCUUUUGCUUCUCCUUAUAGCACGCUAAUCAAACGCAGACAGUCACGGCGUUGCGGUAUUAAAUUGUUGACAUAUGCUACGAUUGUGAAGGCGGAAAGGCUCGGAUGGAAGAGGGAAAAAAAAACCAGGUCUCUUGAAUUUGUGAGGUUUAACAAUUCAAUGGUUCAAAGGUGCUUUCAUUGUCACGUCCGUGAAGUACCAACACGGUGAAAAUCUGUUACUUACAAUAUACAAUACAAUACAAUACAAUACGGUUUUAUUCGUCACAUUGCACAUAAAAUGCAAGUGAAAUGAAUUUGCCAGCAGCGGUACAAUGAUAAAGAACACACAAUACACAAUAAAAAUUGAACACAAACAUCCACCACAGCAUUCAUCACUGUGGUGGAAGGCACAAAAUUUGGCCGGUCCUCCUCCAUUUCCCCCCGUGGUCGGGACCUCAACCCUCUGCAGCCGUUGCUGCGGGCGUCCAGAUGUGUAGACAAGGUACAAGUCCAGAUAAAAUCCUGAAUCGGUGCCUCCCCACCGGAGACCGCGGCUUCAAAAUUACGAAAGGUAAAUCAUGUCUGACGAAUCGUAUAGAAUUUUUCGAGGAUGUAACUAGUAGCGUGGAUAGGGGAGAACCAGUGGAUGUGGUGUAUCUGGACUUCCAGAAGGCUUUCGACAAGGUCCCACAUAAGAGAUUAGUAUACAAACUUAAAGCACACGGUAUUGGGGGUUAAGUAUUGAUGUGGAUAGAGAACUGGCUGGCAAACAGGAAGCAAAGAGUAGGAGUAAACGGGUCCUUUUCACAAUGGCAGGCAGUGACUAGUGGGGUACCGCAAGGCUCAGUGCUGGGACCCCAGCUAUUUACAAUAUAUAUUAAUGAUCUGGAUGAGGGAAUUGAAGGCAAUAUCUCCAAGUUUGUGGAUGACACUAAGCUGGGGGGCAGUGUUAGCUGUGAGGAGGAUGCUAGGAGACUGCAAGGUGACUUGGAUAGGCUGGGUGAGUGGGAAAAUGUUUGGCAGAUGCAGUAUAAUGUGGAUAAAUGUGAGGUUAUCCAUUUUGGUGGCAAAAACAGGAAAGCAGACUAUUAUCUAAAUGGUGGCCGACUAGGAAAAGGGGAGAUGCAGCGAAACCUGGGUGUCAUGGUACACUAGUCAUUGAAAGUAGGCAUGCAGGUGCAGCAGGCAGUGAAGAAAGCGAAUGGUAUGUUAGCUUUCAUAGCAAAAGGAUUUGAGUAUAGGAGCAGGGAGGUUCUACCGCAGUUGUACAGGGUCUUGGUGAGACCACACCUGGAGUAUUGCGUACAGUUUUGGUCUCCAAAUCUGAGGAAGGACAUUAUUGCCAUAGAGGGAGUGCAGAGAAGGUUCACCAGACUGAUUCCUGGGAUGUCAGGACUGUCUUAUGAAGAAAGACUGGAUAGACUUGGUAUAUACUCUCUAGAAUUUAGGAGAUUGAGAGGGGAUCUUAUAGAAACUUACAGAAUACUUAAGGGGUUGGACAGGCUAGAUGCAGGAAGAUUGUUCCCGAUGUUGGGGAAGUCCAGGACAAGGGGUCACAGCUUAAGGAUAAGGGGGAAAUCCUUUAAAACCGAGAUGAGAAGAACUUUUUUCACACAGACAGUGGUGAGUCUCUGGAACUCUCUGCCGCAGAGGGUAGUCGAGGCCAGUUCAUUGGCUAUAUUUAAGAGGGAGUUAGAUGUGGCCCUUGUGGCUAAGGGGAUCAGAGGGUAUGGAGAGAAGGCAGGUACGGGAUACUGAGUUGGAUGAUCAGCCAUGAUCAUAUUGAAUGGCGGUGCAGGCUCAAAGGGCCGAAUGGCCUACUCCUGCACCUAAUUUCUAUGUUUCUAUGUUUCUAAGUUGGUGUAGGCCGCAGGCCGGUGGUCGAAGAUUUAAAGUCCCCGCCGCGCCGCAGCCAGAAGCACCGCAGACCGCAGGGCCGGCGGUCGAAGCUCCCCUCCAGGGGUGAUGAUGUUGCCUGGGGCGGUACGGUGGCGCAGCGGUAGAUUUGCUGCCUUACAGCGCCGAGGUCCCUGGGUUCGAUCCUGACUACGGGUGCUGGCUGUACGGAGUUUGUUCGUUCUCCCCGUGACCUGCGUGGGUUUACCCUGGGUGCUCUGGGUUCCUCCCACAUUCCAAAGACGUACAGGGUUGUAGGUUUUUCCACACUGCGUUGGGCAGUGCAAGUGUGCGGGGAUCGCUGGUCGGCGCGGAUUCAGUGUGCCCAAGGGUCUACAUCCGCACUGCAUCUGAACUAACCUAAACUAUA